CCUUCCGUUCAGAUUCAACCCUUUACCAAAAUCUCUCUCUCUUCACAAACCCUUACCAUCCCAACCUCCUUGACCGCGACUCCUUGAGACCUUUCUCGACUUCUCCGACUCGCCGCCCUUCACCAUCGAUCUCUCCUUCGAGUGGAUCCUUGACUCCCGUGACUCCGACGCCGAUCAGAUCAAGCUCAUUGAUUGCGCCCUGCAGUUAGGAUUGGUGCUCCUCGAGGCCGGUAAGAGCUAGGCGAGACGAAGAGCCUCCAAGAACAACUCCAUCUCCUGGGCUCUCCCUCUCAACCUCACCAUCAAGGUCUUUUCCAUGCCCCAUACUCAAAGCAUAUGCUAUCCAGCAGCUACUUAUUCAAUGUUUAAUAAAUGAGCCAUGGAUCUUCUUGCCAUGCGAAUAUUGACUUGACAACGGUUGUCCUAAAAGUUAACAAUUGAGUAGUUUCCACAAUGAUACACGGACAAUGGAAGCUCUUGAGUUGUGGCUCAAAAAGUGAAGGAGGCAGAAAUUACCAAGCAAGACUCGCUUCUGGUUCCACUUUCCUCUUCUAG
rnacentral:lncRNA from 1 species